rnacentral:lncRNA from 10 species
UAGGCAUAUAAGAAAGCAACAGGGCCUACUUAUUACUUGUACCAAAUUGGGUUUUCCCAAUUCAGCUUCUUCUGAUGCCUGCAUGUAAUAACUUGAGCACUGGUAUAAGUAAAAAUAAAAUACUAGGUUGCUUCUUACUUAGUUUCUAUUCUUUAGGUUAAAAUCUUCCUUGGAAAAUCUGGCCCCACAGUCUGUCAUAAUAAAAUCCUACAUGGAAGCCAAUAUCAAUUAACUGAAAUUAGCAUGGAGGCAGAAUCUAUUUUCCACACUUGCUCUGCAGCCAUUCUGCCUGGAAGCAUAUGUGCUCAUUACUGUUAUUUUGAACAUAUUAGUUUUUCUAGGUUCAAAAGAAAGAGGAGUGAAGAGGAGUAAAACAUACAUCUAUUAUAAAGCAAGAAGGUUAAAUAAAUGGAAGCUUUUUAUUUUUCUUUCUCUACCUAAGGUGGUUGCUGCGUGGUAGAAGCUUGGCUCAUCAGAAAGUUCCAGCCUCCAACCACAGUUGAAAUGGCCCACAUCCAUUGGAGCAAAGAAAAAGGGGAAUUGGGACUGAAGUCUGGACCUUGUGACUUCCAUAACAGUGUUUCUUCUGCCUGCACCAGAGAGCCAAGGAGACCCCAGGACCCUGGAGGUCUGAGGGCUUUCUCAGAACUGUCCAACUUUUCAGCCACAUGGGUGCUGCUAUCUACUAAGGAUGGGGAAGAAUGCAUGGUGCUCUAA